rnacentral:rRNA from 3 species
GACCUCGGAUCAGGUAGGAAGACCCGCUGAACUUAAGCAUAUCAAUAAGCGGAGGAAAAGAAACCAACAGGGAUUGCCCUAGUAACGGCGAGUGAAGCGGCAACAGCUCAAAUUUGAAAUCUGGCUUCGGCCCGAGUUGUAAUUUGCAGAGGAAGCUUUAGGCGCGGCACCUUCUGAGUCCCCUGGAACGGGGCGCCAUAGAGGGUGAGAGCCCCGUAUAGUUGGAUGCCUAGCCUGUGUAAAGCUCCUUCGACGAGUCGAGUAGUUUGGGAAUGCUGCUCAAAAUGGGAGGUAAAUUUCUUCUAAAGCUAAAUACCGGCCAGAGACCGAUAGCGCACAAGUAGAGUGAUCGAAAGAUGAAAAGCACUUUGAAAAGAGGGUUAAAUAGCACGUGAAAUUGUUGAAAGGGAA